UUUAAACAAUUUUUUAUAUUGUUUCAAUGCUUUAUCAUUCUUGAUUUCUUAGUAUAGCUUCUACAUCAAACUACUUUGAGAAUUGAAACUAGGUUUUAAAUUCAAUUCAAAAUUUACUUUAAACCCUAACUGCAGUCGAUCGGUUAGUUUAGCUUUGUUUCUACCCUAACAUACCUAUAAUCAGGUUGUAUUUAUGUUGAGGUGAGAAGAAAUAGUGUGGCAGUUAAACAACUUGCUCCUUCAUACUUUUUUGUUUCCUAAUCCAUUAUAUGGUCUAGAAGUUUUUUUAAGUACUUGUUCUUUUCUGAAGCAAUUGUAUUGUGUGAACUGUUGUGGUUCUCUGGUUUGGGGUUAUACCUAUAUCCGAUUUAUCUGGUCCUCGUAUUGGGUUUGUUUCCUAUGGUUCCCUAUUGGUCCAGAGUAUUGCUUAGAGAAUUGUUUGUUCAAUAUAUGUUCCCUUAGUAGCGCAUUUUUUAUUUUAGACUUGGCUUCCCUAAGUCAUUGUCUUCAUUAUUACCUUAUUUGUUUGGGCUCUGUUCUCUCGGAAACUUCUUCUUAUGUGUAUUCUUUUCUAUUCCAAAGCAACCAACAUGAGCGUGUCUAACUUUGCUCAUGCUCUAGUAAGUUUCUCUUUUCUUUCUAGUGUAGCAAGUGCAUCCUGCAGGCAUGAGCCUGACUAUGUGCUUGGCCUAUAGUUGAGGUAGUUUUUUAGUGUUAUUGCUUUACUUUGAGUCUGUCAGUUUUUUUAGGAACUCUUUAAUUUUUCCAUCUUCAUGUACUUUCAUAGUCUUCAAUUAACAUAGAGUUUUGUGGAAGUACUAGAUGAUGGUGGGGGAUUUGGUUUGGUGUUCCAAAAUUUUGAAGUCUAUUGAUUCUCUUGUCUUUGCAUAUGUUUUUUUAUUGAUACAUGGUUGUGUCCGACUUAGUUUCCAUCAAUGCAACUCAUUUGUUUGGAUAAUACAUUUGUUCUUCAAUCAAAUGAUUUAAAUAAUAGUUUCAUUUUUUUACAACUAAAACAAAAUUCACAUCUGCGGUUUUUGGAAUCUCCUUACCUGGUACAUUUAUUAAGAAAAAAAUAUUUUUUGUUCUCUACUUUAAGGGCUCUUUAUCUUUGUUAUUACCAACUAGCAUUAAUGAUUGAACAUAGGAUUUCUGUAAGUCUUCUUUCUCACUUCACUCUGUAGCAAGAUUGAUAGGUCAUUAUUUUAUGGUUUGGGCUAGGAAAUUAUAUGUAUAAGUCUUAUUAAAGUUCAUGGUCAUGUUAGCUUAUUUUUCUGAGUUUACGGUUGUGUUUAUGUGUACGGUCGUAAACAAGUUUACGGCCGUAUACCUAUUUACCGCCAACAACCUCCCUAUAUAUAGGGUGUGUCAGAGUCGUGUCAGAGUUGUUGACGAAUCAAAGGGUGUCUCUUAUAGUUUACGGCCCAAGUGUAACCAAGGUGUAUUUGACGUUUAUUUGAUAUAAAACGUGUGCAUGCUUGAAUUAAUCUGUCUUCUACUCCAUUCUCUAUUUGUUCGAUUGAUAUAUGUUUGAUCACUGUUCGGAUUCUUAGUUUUAGGGACCUUACAAUUGGUAUCAGAGUAGUCUGGUGUCAAAACGGAUUUUCAGUCGUAUUCACAGUUAAACUAUUUUCAACUUAUUCAUUGAUCAAGGCUCGAUUCUACGUCUUCAUAGCUAAAGGGAUUAAAUUUGCUGGAAAAUCUUGUGUUUUAUCUCUUCUGGAAGUUUUCGGAUCAAUACUGUUAAAGGGAGUACGGUCGUAAACUCUUUCUACAGCCAUAAACAGCUGAUCUGCGAAGACCAUAAACUGUCCAUACUCUAAGACCGUAAACUGUCAGGACCGGAAACUUGUGUACGACCGUAAACAAGCUUCCGACCGUAAACUCCUUCAGCUGCAAACUGAUUACGACCGUAAACUCUUGGCCGUAAACAGUCUAAUUAAUUUAACUUUUGGUUCUUCAAGUUAAUAAUAUAAAUUAAUUAAAUAAAAUUAGAAAAUUAAAAAUAGAUUCACAAAAUUCUCAUCAUUAACUUGAUUCUGUUAUGGGCACUACCACUCGCAUACCCCGUCUGCUGUCUGCUGAGGGGAUUCCAGAAUGGAAGUAUUGUUUGGAGAAAUACAUCAAGAUGAAAGAUUUCAAAAUUUGGAGAUGUAUUUUGAAAGGCCCCCAUCAGAAUCACUACCACACUUCCAGAUAAAAAAAUUGUCAACAAAGCUAUUGAAGAAUACACUGAUGAAGAAUUCGAUAAGAUUGAACAGCAGGAAAGAGCACUUGCUACCCUUACUAUGGCCCUUUCUCCUGAAAUUGCCCAGGGUUUUGGGAAUACAAAUAUGCAAAAGCUCUGUGGGAAGCCUUGAUAGAGGUGUAUGAAGGAAAUGAGAACAUGAAACAGAGCCGUCAAGACACGUUGAGAUUGGAAUUCAACAUGUUUAAUCAUGUUCUUGGAGAAACUCUGGAAGCUUAGCUUCAACGCUUUAUCACACUCACCACUGAAAUGAGUUCAGCUGGUAUCUUUGUGCCAAGGUCAGAAAUGAGUUCAUACUUGGGAUAUGAAUGUAGCUAUCAUCAAGAAAACAAAAGACCUUAAUCGACUUAGUUUGGCUCAAAUCAUGGCCAUCAUUAAAGCUUGUGAUCUGGAUGACAAACAAAGAGAGAUCAAUCACAUUAAUUCCUAUUCUUUUGCCAAUCUUGGAAUUCAGUCAAAAUAUGCUUUCUCAUCUUUCACCAAUCCUCAAGUUCCACCAUUUGUUGUUCCUCAGUCAUCAUUUGUUACUCCUCAGUCAUCUUUUGUUGCUCAAUCAUCAUUUACUGCUCCCCAACCUUAUCCCCAAGUUGCUUCUUCUUCAAAGACAAACGUUCCAGUUCCUACACAAAUUCAUGUUUCCAAAGAGAAUGAAGAGAACUUGGCUCUUGCAACUGGUCUGGUUAACUGUUAUAAUGCUUUUGUGGCAGGUGAACUGCCUCCUCAGUCGUCAUUUGCUGAUUUGGAUCAAAUUCACCCUGAAGAUGUGGAGGAAAUGGAUAUAACCUGGCAAAUUACUAUGGCGGUAUUCCGUGCAAAACAGUUCUCCAAGAAGACUGGCAAGAGUAACUGGGGAAUGAAUGCAAAGAAGAAAAUAGGAUUCAACAAAACUAAGCUCCGUUGUUUUAACUGUCAUGAACCUGAUAAUUUUGCCAGAAAAUGCCUAAAGCCUGAUAUAAGAGAAAAUCAUGAAAGAACGAUGGUGUCAGUUGGCAACAACAGGCAAGCUACAACCAGCAAUCAAACUGCGAAUCUAGUUGUGGUAGCACAGUCAUUUGAUUGGGAUGACCAAAUUCAAGCCUUGGACAUCUCAGGACCUGAAAAUGCGCAUCUUGCUCAAAUCAACGACAUUACCAAAGGAGAAGUUGAGAUAGAUCCAGAGGAGGAGAUGAUGAAUCUUCAGUUUGCAUUCAUGGUUCAAAAUACACCAGAACUUGAAAAUUUUGAGGUCAGUGAAGUCUCUUGUUCUCCUUCUUGCAUUAAAACUAUAAAUUUUUUGCGUGAACAAGCUGAUUUAAUGCGAAGAGAAAUUGAGGAACUUAAGUAUGAGGGAUACCAACUAAGAAACGGCCAAAAACCAAUUAGAGGCCAAAACAAAGGACUAUAAGAAAUUAUAAUCAGAUUAUACUGACAAGUGUGUUCAUUAUAGAUAUCUUAAAAUGGAUUUUGAUGUUGUAACUGCUGAGCUUGAAACAUUGAAGACUCGUUUUGCAAAUGCUGAAUUUAACUUUAAAAAAUUCGAUGCGUCAAGUGAAAAGGUUGCAACAAAACUGAACACCAAAUGAGAUGGAAGGACCAGAAACAAGUAGGAAUAAGUUAUGAGAGUGUCCCUCCCCUUUUCAAUCACAAUUAUAUUACUUCUCCAUUGACUCAAACUGAGAUUUAUCGUGAACCAUUUAUGGUUUAUGGUAAAUCAGCUGCUGAACAAGCAACAGAUUGUAGUGCUAGGAAUUUAGAUACUAAGGUUUCUACUUCCGAUGCAGAUUCGCCAGUAAGCCAAGAAAAGCAGGAGAAUGGAGGAAUUGAAUCUAAUAAUAAUUAUGUGUCAAAAUUUGGUGUCCCUUUUUCAAAAGAUGAUGAACUUGUUUUUUAUGUUAAGACUGAUGUUUUGCUUAGUGAUAAUGUGGUGUCAAACAUUAAUACUUCUGAUAAUUGUGGUGUUAUUUUUGUAAAUUCUACUAAAUCUGAAUUUGUCACUAGCACUUCCACAUCAUCCAUGCUUGUCACACCACCUGAAUCAUACACCUGCACUUGUGGAAAUAGUGGGAAGGUCAAUAAGAGCGUGAAAAUUGUUAAAGGCAGUACCAAGUCUUCUGAAAAUAAAAAAAAUUGUUUUAACUGUGGUACUGCCGGUCAUAUUGCUUGAAAUUGUUCCAACCGAAUGUUUGUGCAUUUUUCAACACCGAGGAAAGAAAAUGAGUCUCGAGGAAGGUCUUUAACUAGAAAGUCCUCGAGAUCUCGUCUUCGUGAAGAUGAUUGGAAAAUUCAUAAUAAUAAGAAAAGGGCAAAUCCUAAACCGAACAAACAGGUUUUAUAUAAAUCUGCUACAGGUGCUUUGCCGAAAUCGACUAUGGCUGAGCCAAGGUCAAUUUCGUCAAAGGGUGCGUCUGGAUCUUCGACUACUCGUAGCCAAAAAUCUAAGUGCUCAAAGAAGAAGAAAACUAUUCCUAAUUCACCUGUAAAUAUUUCAAAACCUAAUUACAAAUCGGUGCCCAAAUCUAAAUUGCCUAAUCAUCGUCUUCCUUUGAAAAUGUAUCUAAUGUAAAGUUGAAAAAUCAAAAAGAUAAAUCUGUAAACAUCAAGCGUAGACCCAGGACUGUAAUGUCAUUGGUUCCCAAAUCUAAAUAAAUCUCGCUCAUUGUGCAGGAACAACUGCGGAGGAAUGUCGCCGGACCUUGGUAUGCCGACAGCGAUUGUUCCAGGCACAUGACAUGAGACAUCUCCCAAGUGAACAACGUUCAGAAUUUUAAUGGGGGAUAUGUUUCCUUUGUGGGAGGAGAUGGUGGCAAAAUCACUCAGAAAGGAACUGUUUCAAAAGGAGUGCUGAGUUUUGAGAAUGUCAACUAUGUGCCCGAGCUAAAGAAUAGUUUGUUAAGCGUCUCUCAGAUCUGUGACAAGGGCUAUUCAACACAUUUCACAGAUAAAGAAUGUCUAAUUCUGAAGCCUGGCAUUCUUAUCCCAGAUGAGUGGAUCCUUGUUAAAUCAAAACGGGAUGGCAAUGCAUACAUUAUUGACAUGAUAAUGACUAGUUCGUCUGUCUAGGCAUUCUAACGAACGCCAGAAUCGAUCUUAAGAACUUGUCACCCUAGACUGGCCGAGUCUAACUGUAGCAAACAAUUGAGGUGUGGGGGAGUCACCCCCGUAUAGAUCUAUAAACAAACUCUCGCUCUCCCUCCAGGAGACUUUGAUUAUAACUAAAGACUACAAACGACCCAUAGAGGUGGGCCUAAUAAACGAGGAGAAGAGGAUUACAAAGUCCUACUAAUCCCACGUAUUAUUUAUGGCUAUUGGGUAUACGAAGGGCACGUUGGCCCAUUUCGCAUUUGAUUUAUUUGGACCUUACUAGCAAUGCGAAUGGGCCACUAAGGCUCAAUGGCACUUGAAAUCCAUUGAGGGUCCCUUAAAUAUGAAAUUGGGUCAUAGAAGACCCAAUAACAUUUAUUAUUAUCAUUUGGGCCCAAAAGUCAUGUUAAUGGGUCACAAAGGCCAAUAAGCAUGAUUAGGAACUUUCAAGCCCAAAGAUUUGAAUAUUUAUUUGUUUUAAGUAUUGUAUAAUUGUCGGAAAGAUUGAUUUUUAGAUUCGUAACGGCACGAGGCCGAUCGGUUGUUUAUAACGAUAUUUAUAAUUAUAUGUAUAUUCGUCUUUCUAUUUUCGUAAGUUGUAAAUUUGGUAUUUUUGACUCAAUAUCUUAAAAAUAAAAUAAUUGACUCAAAAAUAUUGGUUUGAACCCCUUUCAGCCCUUCUUUAGUAAAAAUGACAAUUUUAGUCCUUUAUAUAAAAAAAGACAUUUUAAGCCCUUAAACCAUUUUCUUGACACUUUUGACCCAUAGACUUGUUCAAGUGAUAUUUUUAGCUCAAAAUUUAUUCUUUGGCAGUUUCAGCCCUUCCAGAAAAGUGUUUUUCGGUUAAAGCCCAAACUUUUUGCAACUUUUACAAUUUUGGCCCAAAAUCCAAAAACUUUACAUUUUGGAUCCUUGUUUGGAAAAAUGUCAUUUUAACCCCUGAAUUAGUUUUUUUUACCCUUUUUCCCCUUGUUUUUAGAAUUUUACCAUUUCAACCCCUUGAAAAACACCUUUUUCGCAAUUUUGUCCCUAAAGGCCGAAAAGCCCAAAGUUUAGCCCAUUAGGCUAAAAUUUACACUUUUAGUCCUUUAAAAAUCAAGAUUGUUAAAAUAACUCAUAUUUUAACUGAUUUGACCUUUUUGACCCCUAUAAAACCGUAAUUGACAUUUAUUUCCCAUCUUUUGCUUAUUUGUCAAAAAUGGUUCAUAAUUUGGAUUUGUGUUUUGUUUUGUUUAUUUGAACUUGUAUAAUACUUUGGUCUUGAUAAUAACAUGUUUUAAGAUGUCUUAGAACAUAUAUUUCCUAAUCACGGUUAAGGAUCUCGGCUAGAUCUUGAUUUUUCACACAUAUUUAUCAAAUAAAUUCAAAGAAUGAUACAUAUCUCACAAAAACACAUAGACCUACACAUUUUACUUGUAUUCUCCCCCAUAAAUCUUGUAAAAACCAAAAAUAUAGGGGUAUGAACUCACCUUUUCUUGUGGAUCUCGGUUUUUGAAGAAGAAAUGAAAGAAAAUGGUGAGAUCUUUCGGCCUAGCAAGCUUCUUGGAAGGUCUUUGGCUUAGAUGUGUUCAAAGAAGCAAGAUCAUGAAUUUUGUAUGAGUUAAGGGAGAUUUUUGAGGUAAUCAAGAAGUUAAAGUAUGGAUCAAACAACAACUUACCAAGGAUUAAUAAUAUUAGGGAAAGAUCUUCUUGGAGCCUUUGUGAUUUUCAAAAUUUUGGAGGAAAAGUGAAGGUAUUCUAGAGAGAGUUUGAAGAAACUUUGAAAUGGUGAUGGGGGUGUGUAUGUGUGUCUCGGCUGAAUUAAAAGGAGGGAAGAGAGGAGAGAGUGAGUUGAGUUGACAUGCAUGGGAACAUGAGAAGAGUGCAUGUAUACCCCAUGUAUAAUUAUGAGGUGGCACCAUUAAAAGUCAACUGUUUUCCCCCUUGUUUUGUAGUUGGGCUGAGAUAGGUAGAAAGGAAUGAAAGACUUGGGCCUUUUGUGUUUGAAUCCAUAAUAUGAGGCCUAACUUGAUGAUUUUCGGCCCAUUGGGCCUUUAGAGUAAUUCACGGCCCAAAGUUAGCAUAAAGGAAUGGUUUUGAGUUCAUUAAAGCUACUUGGAUUUGUUAUGGCUUAAUAAGGCCCAUUAUAGCUAAACUAAUCCAUUUUAGAUGCAUUAUGGCCCAAAAUGUUAUGUUUCAUGAAAGUGGGUCCAAUUCGGGCUUAUUUAAGAGUUCUAAGUCCAAAAUAGUCAAAUUGGAAGCUUAUUGGCCCAUUACACCCAAUAAGGAAAUCCUAGUCCAUAAUGGACUUAACCCGGGUUUUUCUAGGGUUUCCAAUUCUUUGUUGACUAUUUAAAGUUUUGUAUAGGCUAUUUGAUGGAAUUUUGUUGUCAUUGAAUAAACACCAUACAUAUUUCCAAGUUUCAGUUACAUUGUCGUUCUUUGUUACGUGUUUACAAUGUAUUAGAAUUCCUAGUUGUGACAUCAUCCCCCCGUUAGAGGGAAUUUUGUCCCGAAAUUCUUUUUAAGCUAGAUUUGAGAAUGCGAGAAUAUGUGAGGGUACUUCUGCUUCAUCUGGUCUUCGCGUUCCCAUGUGAAUUCUGGUCCAUGCUUCGCGUUCCACCAAACUUUCACAAUCGGAAUACGCCUUUGCUUAGUACGCUUCACCUCCCUGUCCAUGAUUUCGACUGGUUCUUCGAGGAACAGGAGAUUAUCGUUGAUUUCGAUUUCUUCAAGUGGAAUGACGAGGGUUUCAUCGGAUAAACACUUUUUCAAAUUGGAAACAUGGAACACGAGGUGUACACUGCUGAGCUCGGCAGGUAGUUGUAGUCUAUAGGCCACUGGACCGAUUUGAGCAAGAAUCUCGAAGGGUCCAAUGUAUCGUGGGUUUAUUUUUCCCCAUUUCCCAAAAUGAAUCACCCCUUUCCAGGGAGAUACUUUUAACAACACCCGAUCCCCGACUUGAAAUUCCAAGGGCUUUUGCCGUUUAUCAACGCAGCUCUUCUGUCGGUCCCGUGAUGCUUAUAGUCGAGCUUUGAUAUGAAUUAUUUUCUCUAUUGUUUCGCGUAUGAUCUCCGGUCCCGUUAAUGCAUUACUUGAUGCCUGUCUUCCUACUAGCUGAGUAUCACCUACCUCAGCCCAACACAACAAUGAUCUGCAUUUACGCCCGUAUAGUGCCUCGAAAGGAGCAACUUUGAUGUUUGAGUGAUAACUAUUGUUGUAUGAGAAUUCGAUUAAAGGAAAGUGAGUAUCCCACGACUUUCCAAAGUCUAUCACACAUUCACGAAGCAUAUCUUCGAGAGCUUGAAUGGUUCUCUCACUUUAACCAUCCGUUUGUGGAUGAUAAGCAGUGCUCAUGUCUAGAUGUGUUCCCAUAGCCUUUUGAAGUGAUUGCCAAAAAUGCGAAGUGGAUCUACUAUCUCGGUCGAAGAUGAUAGAUAUUGGCACUCCAUGAAGUCUCACCACUUCUUUUAUGUAUAUCCUGGUCAACCUCUCCAUCUUGUAGGAUUCUUUUAUUGGCAGGAAAUGAGUAGAUUUCGUUAAUUUGUCGACUAUUACCCAUAUGGUAUCAAUCCAUCUGUUGACUUGGAUAAUUUGGUCACAAAACCCAUAGUAAUCCUUUCCUAUUUCCACUUGGGAAUUACUGGUUGUUGUAGUAAUCCUGAGGGCUUCUGGAAUUCCACCUUCACUUUAGUGCAAGUAAGGCAUUUGCUAACAUAGGUGGCAAGCUCUGCCUUCAUGUUGGGCCACCAAUACCGUUGCUUGAUAUCCAAGUACAUUUUAUCAGAACCUGGAUGGAUGGAGUAUCGUGUCUUGUGGGCUUCAUUCAUGACUACUUCUUUGAAUCCUCCAAGCUUAGGGAUCCAAAUGCACUUCAUGAAGUAAUAGGCUCCAUCCUCCUUAACUUCAAAAUUCUUUUCCAUUCCGCGUAACGCUUCUCUUGUUCUAUUUUCCAUUUUAGCAUCGAGCUGGGCCGCUUUGAUUUGCAUGGCAGGUGGGAUUGAAUGGUUAUGGAGAGAGUUUUUACACGACGAUUUGAGUAUUCUUUCCUACUCAAGGCAUCAGCUACCACGUUAGCCUUUCCCGGAUGAUACUUGAUUUCGCACUCAUAAUCGUUUAGCAGUUUAACCCAUCUUCGUUGUCUCAUGUUCAACUCUUUUUGAUUUAAAAUGUGUUGGAGACUCUUGUGGUCAGUGAAAAUGGUGCACUUUGUACCGUAAAGGUAGUGCCUCCAAAUCUUCAAGGCGAAGACCACAGCUCCUAGUUCGAGAUCAUGGGUGGUAUAAUUCGCCUCAUGUGUCUUUAGUUGUCGAGACGCAUAAGCUAUCACCUUGCCACGUUGCAUAAGUAUGCAACCUAAACCCUGAUUCAACAUCGCAGUAAACUACGAAGUCCUCCAUUACCUCUAGUAGCAAUAGUACCUGUGCGAUGCAGAGUGCUUGCUUCAGAGUUUGGAACGCAACUUCUUGCUUAUUUGUCCAUUCAAAGGGUACGCCCUUUUGUGUAAGCAUUGUAAGUGGCUUGGCUAUCUUAGAGAAGUUCUGGAUGAACCUCCUGUAAUAGCCUGCGAGACUUAAAAUUGAUGAAUUUUUGUGGGUGUCAUUGGGAUCGCCCAUCCUUCAAUGGCUUUGACCUUGGAAGGAUCCAUAUGUAUCCCUUCUUGACUAACGACAUGACCCAAAAAGUUCACACUAUGGAGCCAGAACUCACACUUAGAGAGUUUUGCGUAUAGCUUUUCGGUUUCCAGGGUUUACAAGAUAUGUCGGAGAUGUUGGCCAUGCUCCUCUUAGCUUCGAGAAUAAACUAGAAUGCCGUCAAUGAAAACGAUGACAAAGUUGUCGAGGAAUGGUCGGCAGAUUCGAUUCAUUAGGUCCAUGAAUGCGGCAGGGGAAUUUGUUAAACCGAAGGGCAUUACGACAAAUUCAUAAUGUCCAUAACGAUUUCGGAAAGCGGUUUUAGGGAUAUCCUCUUCCCGAACUUUGAGUUGGUGGUAUCCGGAUCGCAUAUCUAUCUUAGAGAAGUAGCUUGCACCUUGGAGUUGGUCAAAUAGAUCGUCGAUUCGCGGAAGUGGAUAGUGAUUUUUGAUAGUGAGCUUAUUUAGUUCCCUGUAGUUAAUACACAUCCUAAAGGAACCGUCUUUCUUCUUAACAAAGAGAACCGGAGCUCCCCAAGGUGAGAAGUUGGGUCGGAUAAAUCCUUUGUUCAAGAGCUCACUAAGUUGGCUGGACAACUCUUGCAUCUCUGCAGGAGCCAAUCUAUAGGGCGAUUUGGCAAUGGGUGUAGCUCCUGGCACGAGAUCGAUUCGGAACUCGACUUGUCUUUCUGGGGGUAUCCCCGGAAGAUCUUUAGGAAAAACGUCUGGGAAAUUGCGAGCCACUACGAUGUCUCGAAUAUUGACCUCUUCUUUGGACUUAUCCACCACAUGAGCUAGAAACGUAAAAUCUUUCUUUCUUAGAUACUUUUGUGCCUUAAUGCACGAGAUAAGACGAAGGUUCAUGCUAGGUUUGUCUCCAUAUAUAAUUAGGGUUUCGUGAUUUGGAAGGUGAAGGCGAACGACCUUCUCGUGACACAUAAUUUCAGCAUGGUACCAAUCCAUGCCGAUCAUCACAUCAAAACUCCUAAUGGAAACAUGCAUUAGGUUUAUUUGAAAGACGUGUUGGUUUAAGGUUAGGGUGCAUCCGAUGUAGAUUUCCCCAGUAGAUUCUGUUUUCCCAUUAGCCAUUUCCACUGUAAAGGUUUCAUUAAGCUUCUGUGAUUGUUGUUUUAACAAUUGUUUAAAUCUAAUACUCAUGAAGCUUCAUUCUGCUCCAAUAUCAAAUAGGAUGCAUGCAUAACUGUGGUUUAGGAGGAACGUACCGGUGACAACAGCGGGGUCAUGAACCGCUUCUCCCUGACCCAUGGUCAACACUCUUCAUGUUCCUCCAUUCCCAAGGUUGUUGUUGUUAGGGCGGUUUCAAUGGAAAUGCCCAGUCUUUCCACAUCCAUAGCAGGUGUGGCUUGGUCCCGCAUUGUUGCCGCUGUUGUUGGUGUUGUUGUUGUUGUUGUUGUUGUUGUUUCCUUGCUGCUGGUUCUAGGAAGGAUAGGUCCUGCAAUAUUUUGCCGUGUGACCCUUUCGAUUGCAACUGGUACAAUGCAUCUCCCUGCAUUCGCCAUGGUGAUGGAGAUUGUACUUGUUUCACUUUGGGAGAUUCCCGGAAUACUGCCUAGGGGCACUUGGAGUAGCUGAGACUGGAGCAUGUGGUGUGGAGGGAACUUGGGUGGUUGCAACAUUGACUAUCAUUGUUUGUUUUUUCUUUGACGACUGUGAGCCUUGUUGCCCAUUUCUCUUGUUAUUCUUUCCUUUCUUGUUGUCACUCUCCUUCUGGCCUUCAGUUUUCCUUGGUUUCUCGCCCUUCUUGUUGUUGUGGUCGUAUAGUUUCUUGGCCAACCUCUUGGCACUAUCGAAGGUCUCAGGAUUUGCAGCUAUCACAUUUCCUUGAAUUGGGGAGGUUAAUCCCCAGAUGAAUCGUUCGAUUUUCUUUCCCUCUGAAGUAAUCAUGCCAGGACACAACAAUGACAGUUCACUAAACCUUGAUAUGUAUGCAUCAAAGUUGGAGUUUCGGAUAGUGAGGUUCCAUAACUCUUGCUCCAUCUUCUGAAUUUCGCCUCGCGGGCAGUAUUCGGCCAUCAACAUUUCUUUCAACUCCGCCCACAACAUGGAGUUGGCUACGGGGAGAGUCAUGGCUUCUACAUGUCCAUUCCACCAAGUGAGAGCUUGAUCAAUGAACGUGCAUGCGGCAAACUUCACCUUCAUCUCCUCGGGGCAUUCACAUAUCUCAAAUACCGAUUCCACUUUCUCUAUCCAUCUUUAUAGGGUUAUCAUUCCACCCGUGCCAUUAAAGGUCUGUGUCUUGGCGUUGGUGAAAUCUUUGUAAGAGCAUGUCUUGGUAGGUCCUUAAUUUAUUCCGUUGGUCGAACUUCCAGCCCCUUUUCCAUUGGCUCCACCAUUGUUCCCAUUGUUGAUCUGUGCUAGUGCCGUUGUGACUGCCACAAAUACCGCUGCUUGAAAUGCCGCUGAGUUGAUUUCUGGUGGGGUUGGCCCAGGGUUCCCACGAGCAGGAUGUUGUGGCAUUUUUCUGUCAUGGAGCAGAAAGAUGUUGAGCGCCUAGAAUUUUGUGAGUUCGUGGUCCUAUAUACUAGGUGUAUAGCAUGUGCUCAAGUAGUUUCAUAUAUUAACAUACAAUCAUGGUUAACAUAACACAUAGUAGAUAACAACAUCAUAAUAAAACACAUAUAUUUUUCCACUAAUAAUAUCCGUGCUUUGAUACAUUAAAAUUUACUCGAAAGAGCAUACAUAAGUAGUGCAUGUUCGGCAGUGUAACGGCUCUACGAGUAGUGUAACCACUUAAACGUAGAGUCGAUGAUACAUAGCAUAGAUCAUAUAAGCAUAAUACUAAAUAUAGGUACGACUAAUCCUAGCCAUGGUGGGAUGUGCCAGGGGUGGUGCUGAAGAAGUGGAUGCUCCCUGAAGGCGGGCCACAUGUCGGGCCUCCCACCUUACCUGUCUCAUAUGGAAUUCCCGGAGAACUUCUCGUGUCUCCUGCUCCACCCGUUUAACCCUGGUUCGCAUCUGGUGCAUCUGAUCAGCCGUGCUCUGAGCCAGAUCACCAGUAUCCCACAAUCGUCUCACCAAAACUGGAAGUGCACGAUCAGUCAAUCCUCCCUCCCUCAAGUCAUAAAACUCGCGCGCCAUGUCAAACGGGGGUGGCUGUUCCUGUUGCCUGCUCCACCUCCAAAUGUCGAUACCCCACGGGGUGUAGGGCCAGUCGGGCCCAUCCGGUGAGCAGGCACCCUAAUCGGGUCAGGGGGUUUGAUAACUUUGGACUCUGCGUCCGAAUCACCGUCAUCGUCAUCGUUGGGUUCCUCCUCGAGGUCUUCUUCGACUUCCUCUUCUUCCAGGUCCACCACUGGCUCAGCAGGUCCACCCUCGACUUCCGCCUCAGGUUCCUCCUCAGACUCCUCCUCGGGGUCUUCUUCAGGUUCCUCCUCCAACCAUCCGUUAUUUCCCUGAUUAGGGAAAUACGGAUCUCCGGGGUGAUGGAAGCCGGCCAUACUGUCUGUGUGAGUGUAUAAAUGUACUAUUAUUCCUAAUAUGUUUUACUUAUUAUGUAAAUUGAGUUGAUGUUUUAUUCUUGGAAAUCAAAGGGGUAUGUUUUUAGGUUCACCGAUCAUUGUGAUUUCCUCGGGGCAUGUGAUAGUUGUACUUAAGAGGAAAUGUAGUUUCAGGCUACAUUCACCCCUUAAUACCACUAUGAACAGUCCCGACUUGACCGAGAUGUCAGCAUCGUCUUAUUUGACUUGGUAUUCGGUUAUUUCUCCUAUAUCGUACAAGUAGAGGUGUUUUAUCGUUGUGUUUUAUUUGUUUUGUUUUGUUAAGAGUUGUUUUAGUCCCUCUUUGGUUUAUAGUUGCAUAUCAAUUUGUGGUUAGAUAUGUUAGUUCACUAUAAACAGAGCUCUGAUACCAACCUGUCACACCCCCGAACUAGACGGCGGAAACGUCUGAGGGCUCCAGUGACUUAAAUUGAAUAUCAUCACAAUGAAUAUACAUGAAUAAUAACAUAAACAUCAACAAGCAUCAAUAUAUUACAACUGACAUUGUUCACAUCAAGUACAUUGUUUAAACAUUACAUAUCCAUAACAUAAAUUGUUUGAUAGUUUUCAAAAGCAUAACACCCUAACGUACUUGGUGUUACUCCUCAGCUUACCUGUUACAUGAGAAUACAAGUUAUUUGGAUAACGUCAACAUAUGGAAUGUUGGUGAGUUCAUAAGUAUGGAUGUCAUGAAAAUUUUUUGUGUAGUUUAUAAACCCAGAAAAUCCGAUAUUUUCUGAAAAAGACAAUUGUUUAUACCAAAGUGUGAAGAUCCAUAGGUUUAUGCAUCAGUGAUUUCAAAGCGUGUAUAAACGAAAAGUUUUGCAUUAUAGUUAUUGAAAAGUACAAAUGAAUGGUGUUAAUUUCCUCGAAAAACCCAAUGUUUUCUGAUCAAAAAAUAUAAUUGUUUCAAAUUGUUAUACCGUCACAAUGAAUGAUUAUGAUUUUGAUGGGUUUUGAGCAUUCUAACACUUCCUAAGUGUACAUGCAACCCUAAUAACCUUGAAUCUAUGUUUUCUCUAUAUACAUGCAAAUUUCUUUUUCAAGGUUAUUUCCUAACUAGCAUGGCAUGGGGAAUAAAUAAAACAUAGAAAACUAGUAGAAAUACAUACCUUGUUGUUGCUUGGAUUCCUUCAAGACUUUGUGAGCCUAGCACCCCAAAUGUUGUGCCUCAAAUGCUUCACACAACACCACAAAACUUGGAAUAACUUGAGAGAAUACUUCUAGCACUCAAAAUCGGUUAUGCCCUCUCUAGUAACACUAGGUCCCGAUUUUGCUAUUCAAAGGGUUCCUUUGAUAAUGGUGUCAUAAUUAGGGUUUCAUUAAGAAGACCCAUAAUUGUCAUGACUCUUCAUUUCUCAUGACCCAUGGGUUUGUAACUCCCAUGGACUAUCCAUGGAGCUCCAAAUGGUUACAUCCAUAACCCAUAAACCAUGGAUCAUUAAUCCACCAUAAAAGAAUUGAUGAUUGUCAUAAUCAACCCUAUAUAUUUAAUUAGUCUCAUUUUGAUCACCAAAUUAAUACUAGAUUAAUACUUGAUCAAUACUAAUUAAAUAAUACUAUUAUUAAUAUAUUAGAACUUAUAAUAUAUUAAUAAUCAUAAGUGCCUUAUUCUCUCAUUUAGUCUAUCCAAGUAUUGCAAUGCCAUGCAACCCAAAUGGACCAUGCCGGGUCGGGUCAAGUACAUACCAAAUAACGUUAUGGACUUAGACACUAUAUCCAAUAGUCUCCCACUUGGAUAAGUCUAAUAACUAUAUUUGCAAAUAUGACUUCAAAAUUCGACUAGCAAUUGUAGCUCUUUCAAAGUCUCUCGGAACUGAGAUGAUGAUGAUGCACCAUUUAAGAUAAGUGAUCAUAUAAUCCUCUGCUCUCAUGAUAUCAGCCGGACAAACACAUGGAACAUGGUCUUACUUAUUGUCCAACAUUUGUUUCUCGAUCUCUGAUUUGUUUCGACAUAGAACUAAAUUGAACACAUCAAUUACGUUCUGACCGGGCCCGGUACAUAGGUCAAAACCAAAUCAUCAAGGGGCCCAGAUAUCGCUUCUAUUUCUAGAAGGAACAGAUAAAAUUUGACUGAUAUGCUUGUACUAACUACUUGUUGAAUUAUUCACAAAGGCAUGUUUUAUAACAUCGAGUUACCAAUGCGUUUUCGUACAAUCAAUGAAUAACCAACUCAUAGUCAACAACUCAUAUCUCUAGGUUUGCAGAUAUAUAUGAUAUUACCGUCUCACGAUCACUCGAGAUAAAUUCCAUGAAGUGAUGAGAGUGAGUGUGGGUUGAAUCCAAUACUCAGCCCUUAUGAGUAUUCAUGAAUGUUGCAGCAACCAUUGCAUUGUCUAAAGCACUUUAGACAAAUCAUACAAGCCAAAUUCAUGACAGUCUUGAUUCAUAUCUACUUCCAACAUAUGACUGACUGUGGAUGGUUUGAAUAAUACGAUAUAUACCAUAACAUAAUUAUUCUGGAAGUCAAAACAUGCAAAGUGAAACACAAGAAUAAUACUAAUCUUAUAUGGCCCCAACACUUUGAGUGUAAAUAAAACACCUUUUAUUUAAGCACCAUAUUGAUUACUCAUUAUUUAUGUUUUGAUUAAUCAACUUUAUGCUUGAAUUAAAACAUUAGUUGUCCCAUGCUCCAAGCAUGUACACUAUGGUUUUCCAAACAACAAUUAUGCCAUACUCCAAGUAUGCAUACUAUGUUUAAAUAUGGUCCUCUCUUUGUGAAAUAGAUCAAUUGACAAUAUUCCAAUGAUGCUCAUUUCACAAUUCCAAUCCUUGUUGUAAAUGCAAGAAUACCAAACUCUUGCCAUUUACUGUAAUCUGUUAGAUUCUAAACUUAUAUGCAAUGAUCCCCUUGUAAUGACUAUGCACAUAAGUCACAAAGACUUGGCUACAGACAUUACAAGAUAUUUCAAUGGAAAUCAAUUCCAUGAAGUCUCAAAUUCAAAGUACAUUCCUUUGAGCAUCCUUCUUGCAUUAAGUUCACUAAUCUUACACAGAUUCAAAAAGUAACUUCCACCUAUGGAAACAAUUCAAUAUUACCAUUUUGACCAUCACUUUUGAACAAGAGUUGCCUCUUUUCAAAAUAUGUCAAUAUGGUCCUAACUCUAUACUUCCAAUUGUCCAUGAGUAAACAACCUCAAACUGUCCUCGACAAUUGCUUAAUCAUUUUAGUCAUAUCCAGUUCUUAUCCCUUUUCCCUUCUUAAUGCCCUAAGCAUUAGGAAAAUUUAGAAUGGAUGAAUAUUAUAGUACAUGCAAUCGAUCCUAUAUCCGAAGCAUAUGGGACACGAUUCAUGCUAUAAAAUUUUUAUUUGCCAUGUUCUCAUAAUUCGAACAAUGAAGAGGUAUGCCGUAAUCAUAAUCGAAUUUUGAGAACGCAACAUAUAUAGAAAUUCCUUAUGUUGAACAAUUCCAACAUAACAUUCAUAUAUAUCCUUGACUAAAGUUGAUAAAACUCAGUCUAAGCUGGUAGAAUUGGAACGAAGUAUAAAAUCCUCUCCCUUAAUUAUAGCAAACAACUUUUCAAAGCAAAUUGAAACUUUUGUUUUCUAUAAUUAACAUUGCUAACUUGCAAUAUUUAACAUAAUCAUCAUGCUCCCACUAGCAUAAUGAUUACCAGCAUAACACUUUAUGCUCCCACUAGUUUUGACAUGUACUCAAAAAUCAACUGGACUUCAAGAAAUCAAUACUUUAUUGAUUUUCUUACCAAAGUUCAUAUUUAUGAUACUAGAUUGCUUUGAUAAGACUUUAUAAAAAACAUACACCUUUCCUUAGAUAGCUCACAUGUUUGUCUAGACCUUUUGCAAUUCUCACUAGUUAGUGUGCCGGUUAACCACACCUGCUCCACUAACUAUAUGAGAAUGCAAAUAUCACAACCGCUAUCUACUUAAAAUCUUCUUAGUGGAAGCGUUUCCUCACCAUCAUUUUCAUGAAUCGAAGAGAAACCUUAUGAUACUUAGAUUUUAUGGUUUAUGUGUUCUUUUCCAUGUGAAUUUUGUCAAAACCAUAAUCACAGGACUAGGUUAGUGACACUUCCAAAUUUAUAUGGACUGAACUUGUGCAAUCUUAAUUUCUUGCCACCCGGCAGCCCAAGGGCCUACCAUUGCUUCCAGGUUGUUAUGCAAACAGUCGAGAACUCUCAGAACUCCAAUGCAAAGCCAACCUUAACUGGGAUGAGCACAGAAUAUGUCAACACGAUAGGUUAAAAACCUCAAGUCGUGGGCUAGUGAUUAACAAAACUCUUGAUUAGUUCUUGAAACUAUUUCAGAAUCAUUUAGACCCCCACUGUCCUCUUGACAUAUAAGACUUCUCUUUGUCAAGAACCAUUCCUUGACAAUACAAAUAUUCAAGAGCUAGUGCGGAUUCUUAUCAAAUUAAACACUUUUCACUAUUGGUCUUAGCUGGUCUUUGUUUUAUCCAAAACAUCACAACUUACCAAUCUCAAAUGUACAAGAAUAGGAAGCAUCUUACUCUACAUUUGACAAGUGUUAUGAACCUUCUAAAGACUAUGUCACUCAAGUCACGAUCUUGGAGUAUAACUCCAGGAUUUGUUUUUGGCACGAAGUACGAAUUAUCUUUUGAUUUAACCAUUUCAACAAUUCACGAUUCCUCUCCUCAGGCAACAAACACACUAAGGUGUCCUUAGAGGAUCAAUUGUGAUAUGGUUCCAUAAUCACUAAGAUAGUCAUAAAACAAAAUACACAAGUACUUUCCCAUCUCUUCAGAUUGGAGAAACUUUUAUCUUUCUGUCUUAUUUGAUUCUUCUUAUUCAUUCUGCCAUACAUUGAAACUUUUCCAAUGUUUCAGAAUUACACUUAAACUCAUAAGCAUAACCAUAUUUACUAAACUUUAGUAAAUCAUAAUGAAUAAUCUUAUCAACCUUUGUGGUGGACCUGACUAGUGCACAACCUAAUGUACGCGAUCCUUUUAGUCCUUCGCUUAACUCACAUGUGAAUGUGAACAAGGAAUUAGUCUUACUUUACCAAAGAUAAAAAUCUCAUUCAUCACACAAUACAACUUGCAUGAUUCCAAGAUUCUGUCCAACUGAAACUUGGGUGAUGAGAAUCUUUCCUUAUUUGGUAAAUUAUGACACUACCACUAAUGAAAGAAUCAAAUCCGUUUACCCAUAUUGCUUAUCAUAGAAAACAUAUAAGCAACAACCUUUUUUCACAAAUGCCAUUGUAAGGAUACUUAAAAUAAAUAAAAUCAAAACCAUUUUUCUUUUAUUUUAAAACUUUGCGGAAAACUUAUCCUUACAAUCCAUAUGGAAAAGUUGUUGUUAUCUAUUCCUAAGCAAUAUAUCAUAACUCUUAAGUAACAGCUUAAAAUUUUGAUCACCGAACCAUGCGAUCGAAAUCCAUCUUCGCGAUUAGAAUCAACAUAUACUUCCUUUAAGUUUCUUUACUCUUCUUUGAUUCUUAAAACAUCAAUAUGUGACCCAGUCACAUCAUGCAAUAAGAAUCUUAGAAUAGAAACUUAAUAAAGUUAGAUAAUGGACUUUACCUAAAGCAGAGUCAAACAUUUGACUUUACCGUCCUUAUGGACUUUUAGGUAAAUUUGGCUUUGGCAACAGAAACCUAUGGACUCUUUGGAAAUGGUACACGGGACUAUCACAGACUUAGCCUUUCUCUUUACCUGAUGAGAUUAAAACUUAAUCUUGAAGAUCGAUUAGAUCUUAAACAGGUGAAUAAAUAUUUAAACAGUAAGAACGAAUGCAAAAUAAAGAACAACUCAACGAUGAAUCAAACGAGUCGAAUGAUUAUAAACAAAACCCUCAGAAGAGCUCGAUCAAGAACAUCAACUGUAGAGGGUUGGAGGUUUACAAGAACGAUAAAAAUAUAUCUGCAAUACUAUCGUGAUCGUUACUUCUUGAUUGUUAACCUAAUAUGCAUGCAAGCAUAUCUUUAUAUAAUAAACCUAGCAAACUCACGGUUGGACAGGCCCAAUACCGGAGUACAAAAUAAAUGGACUAACAGCCGAGCCCAAUGACGCAAUCUUCAAACGAGUCUUCAACUCAACAAUCUCCCCCUUUGCGUCAAUUGGAGCGAGAUCUUCACUUUUUACUUGGGCCAGCAGCAGCACCGGGUACCUUCUUCUUCACGGUCUCAAACAGACGAGAUAUCAGAGCAAGUAUCGUUUGCCUGAAUCUGAUGUACCAUUGGAUCAUGUCGUUGAAGUACUUUACAUUAGGGAUGAGCAACGGGCCAAACCCGGACCGGACCGGCCCGAAGACCGAAAACCCGAAGACCGAAAAUCAUGAAUUACCUUGCCCGAAAACCGGACCAUUUUUGCGUGUACCGGGUCCGGGUUCGGUCCGGUCCGGUUCACGAUAUUAAACCGGGUUUCGGGUUUUGGACCGAAUUAUACUUUUGCAGUUUUGUUUACGGUUUCGAGUUUUGUUUGUAUCUUUGUUGUUUAUGGUUUCGGGUUUAUUUGUAAUAUUACUCUCUAGUCUCUAUCAUACUAUUUCAAGUUAUAAUCUUACUACGUAAUAUCCAUCAUUCGUAUUUUUGUUGUUUGCACAAUUGGAAAAAAAAAUACAUAAUUGAAGAUGAAUGUAAAUCUAAUAAGUAGCAAACCAAAAUUACCAAAAUAUUAUUGUACCAAAAUAAUAAUAACCAAACUAAUAAUAAUCAUGUACUAAACCAAAUUACCAUUAUACGAAAACAAACAAUUUAUGAAAAAAACAAUUAAACUUCAAUCGGCUUCUUUCCAUUCCCUCUGUCUUCUUUUUCCUCCAUCGCCGCUUCAAUCUCUAUAUAAUUAACACCAAAGCAUAGUGAGCAUCUAAAUUUUUUAACAAACAACAAAUAAAUAAAAUAUGAUUUAAAUUUACUACCCAACGCUAUGCCAUCAUCCUUCAAUAUGUCUUCAUCAUCAUCUAUAAUGGGUUUGCGUGAUUUUCUUACCCAAUCUUGGGUACAUACUAAAGCUUCAACAAUCGGCGUAUUCAAACGUGUUCUAUACUCAUCUAGAAUUCGACCGCAAGUACUAAAAACGGAUUCCGACGCCACGGUCGUCACUUGUAUGGACAAAAUAUCUAACAACAAGCAAUCAUAAAAUUAUAAAUAUAAUAAUUUAUAACUUAACUAAAAAAACAAAGAUAAAUAAUAGAAUUACCUUUUGCCAUACGAGCGACUAUCGGAAAACGCAAUGCAUUUUUUUUCCACCAAUCUAGGAUGUCAAAAUUUUUAUCAAAAGUCACUCUAGGUUCAUUUAAAUAUCUUCUCAAUUCGUUUUCAACUGUCGCCGACGUGUCUCCUUGUCCCAUCAAGAAAGCGUCCAAAAAAUCGUUACCCACAUCACAACUUACAACUUCUUUUACUUUCUGAGACGAACCUACAUUUGCAUAUUUUUCUUCAUAGGUUUUAAAUAAAUUUUCCAUUCUUUUUUCAAUUUCCCGCACCGUAGACAUUGUAUUCAAUUUUAUGGUGCUUUCCAACAAUAUGUUUUCUUCCGUUCUCGUGUUUUCGAUCAUCUUCUUGAUGAUAGCUGACAAAAAGAUGGACUUCAUUUGGGGGUCCAAUAAUACGGCAAAACACGUGAAAUCAUUCAAAUUUUCUAUUGAACCCCAAUACUUGUUGUAUUUGGCACGCAUGUCGGGGAUCAUAUGGCAAAGAUGCACUUUUGUUGAACACGUUUCUAGAUGUUGGUCAACAUCUAUAAUUUCCCGUAAAACAGUUUGUACCAACGGUUUUGAUGAAGCCGACAACAUCUACGUUUUUGUUUUGAACUUUUCAAGAAACAUUAUAACCUCUUCUAUCACUUCGAAAUCGGUACGCUGCGGGACUCUACUUAGAUCACGUGCAAAUGAGGUGUCUACAAAAAAAUACAACAAAAAAAUAGCAAUUUUAAUAAAAAAAUUGCUAAGAGCUUUUAUUUGUAAAAAAUAACAACAAAAAAAAACAUUUUUACCUUUAACUUCAUAUUCAAAAAAAGCAUAUUUUAAGUUCAAAGCGCUCUUCAACAACUCAAAUGUCGAAUUCCACCUCGUUGGACACUCUCCACAUAAAAACUUAUCCCCUUCUAAGUCGGAAUCCUUCAUACAUUUUUUAAACUUCCUAAUUCUAGCGGUUGAAUGUCUAAUGUAUUUCACCGCUCUUUGAACACAUGACACGUGACUAUUGUGAUAUUUUAACCCAUCUUUCACAAUUAAGUUCAAAAUAUGAGCCACACAUCUAACGUGAAAAUGUUUUCCACCUUCAUACAAGUUGGGAAGUUUUUUGGUCAAGAAUUCCAAUGCUUUGUCAUUUGUAGUGGCAUUGUCCACACUUAUAGUCAUCACAUUUUUUAUCCCCCACUCAUGUAUGCAUUCAAGUAACAAACGUCCCACGUCUUCUCCCACAUGAGUAUCUAUUGGUCUAAAAUUUAAAAUCCUUUUAUGCAUGACCCAAUCGUCAUCUAUGAAGUGCCCCGUAACAACCAUGUAAUUCGUUUUUUGACACGAUGAAGUCCAACUAUCGGUUGUUAAGUGUAUCAUGUUGUGUGGAUUGGCAAAGAAAGUUAACAACUUCUUCCUUUCUUCAACAUAAAACUUGGCAACAUCACGGCUAAUUUUAUGCCUAGAUGGUAUUUUGACUUUCCCGUUUAGAGCAUUUGUGUACUCUAUAAAAGCUUCAUUUUCCACAAAUUUAAACGGGAGUUCACCUACAACAAAUAGGUUUAGCAUAGCUUUUUUAAUCCUGUCUUCAUCGUGUUUCCAUACGGUGACAGUACUACCAUCCCCAAAAGGUUGUUUUUUAAAUUGUAUAGUAUUUUGCCCUUUAAUAUUAUCCAGAUUUUGUUUGCAUUUUCUUGCAUGUCUAAGUAAGCUAGAAGUUCCAUUUGUGUUUACAUCGGAAUUAAAGACUUUAAAGCAAUGUUUACACAUAGAUUUAUUGGUUUUCUUUCCAUCUUCGUCCAUAACCACUUCCAUUGAAUCCCAACAUUUUGACCUUUUUUUUGUGGUGCCCGUUUUCUUUUAUUUUCUUUCUUUGGCAAUGCGGUGUUAUCUUCAAUAUUUAUGUCUCCUUUGUCAGUAUCAACAUCAUCAUCAUCAAUAAUAUGUGGGGUGUUAUCAACAAAGACAUCAUCAUCCUACAAUACAAUAAAAAUACAAUAAAGUAAAAACAAUUACUUAGUUAAUAAUAUGUGGGGUGUUAUAUAAUCUUAACAAACAACAAAUACAGUAACAAUUGCCAUAUUAUAUAAAUAGUUAAUAAUAAAAAAAAUCUCAAAAGUAGAAAUUAAAUAAUAAAAAAAACUCAAAUCCCAAAUCUUAAAAGUUGAAUCCAGGAAGAAAGUUGAAUCCUCAUUAAGAGGAGAUGAAGUCUUAGAUGAUCAGAAAUAUAAAAUCAAAACCAAGACUAAUUAACAGCAUCAGGCGGAACUUGCUGCAACUACAUCUUUUCAAACUUAUUAACUUGGAUUGAAGUAAGUUGGAUGUUUGAUUACCAUAAUGCAACACGUAUAUAUAAUACCUAAUAGGCUAAUACACCAUUAACUAAUACUCACCCCAUACUACAUUAUCUUAUUACAAUACCCAUACUCUAAAUCUAAUAUAUUAAUACAACAUCAUAUGAAACCCAUACUAUUGGCUGGUAAUUAGUUCCACCACAUGGGGCAUUCAUCGUACGUGUAGCUUGUGUAUGCCGUAAUAAAUGCAAUGUAACACUAUUUGGCAAGACAGAGUCCACAUGGGGCAAUCACGUACCCAUGAUUAAAACAUAAUAGAAAAACGACCCACGGUUAAAACUUACAUUACGAGUUUACGACAUCAAACAUAAAAAAUAUUUAGACUUACUUGACUUUGAUUAUCUUCCAUGGAACCAACCCAAUUUUCAAUAACCAUUGUAGAGGAGAGGAAGUAUUAGAGAUCAAGAGGGAAGAAAGCAUCGAUUGACACUAAGAACGAACUCAAAGAAAUCAAGCCGUCGAUAGGGUUUCUUGUAUCGGCUUCAAUUGUUUUUUUUUGUACACUCAAAAAAGGAAUUAAGGAAAUAGUAUUAUUAACUUAUUAAUAAGGUUUGAUUUCCGGUCCGGUCCGGGUUUACAAUUUUAUUCCGGGUCCGGUCCGGUCCAAACCCGAAACCUGGUUUUAGUAAAAAACAAAACCCGAAAACCGGUCCACCUAUAAGAAUAUCCGGUCCGGUCCGGGUCCGGUCCUGGGUUUUUUCCGGUCCGGUCCGGUCCAACGGGUUAUAUGAUCAUCCCUACUUGACAUCGUCUGCUGCAUUCCCCUUACACCUUCGGAUGAUUGACAAAACAUGCUCAAGGCAAGUAUUGGUGUAAAGAUGCUUAUCCGCCAAAGCAAAGAGACAUUUCUGUCCUUCUGCUCUAGUAAACAUGACCGAAUUGGGUCUCGGAUCGAUCUUGCCCAUCUUCAUUUGAUUGAGAUCACUGGCCGAUCCCACAGAAGCUAUCUUCGGUUUCUUCUUGAAGACUGUGGCAAUCUCCUGAUCCAUAAGGGCAGCCUCCAUGAUGUAACAAACAAUCAUCCUCUUGAGAUGGUCUAUAAUAGGACCAUAUUCUGCUUCGUUCGUCAAGAGGAUGUUGUGCAAAACAAUCCAAUCAUGAGGGCUUAAGUUCGGUAAGUCUGCCAAAGAUAUAAGAUGUUCGGUUCUAGCAGACCCUCUUAUCACCUUGAACCGAACGUUGAUGAAUCUCCCUUCGGUAUAAGGCUUUAAGACCCGAACGUUCACGAUCUUCUGAGCGCUCCAUGUCUGAUAUUGUGGUUGAGCAGCUUUCAGAUAGAACUCGAUAAGCUCCCUAUCGACCUCAACGUUCGGAUGAGGGACUUCAAAAAUAUUGGAGAAGGCGUGGAAGAUAAACGCCUUUCGAGUCAACGGCAUAUCGAACUGCGAAUCGACAGAGUUAUUGCAGUCGAACGAUAUCACCGGUUCGAGCCAUAGGAUGCUAGGAGUGUCUAUGGCCUCCUUGAUCAUUCUCUCCCGAGUCCAAGCAGGGAAAAGAGUCUUCCUGCUCUCGAGGAGAUCGUGGGCUUCCUUCUGCUUGCGUUCGGCUUCUUCAGCCUCUCGCGCCACACGAAUAUUGCCGUCUUCCACAUUGCGACUGUUUUUGCGUUUAAGCAAGUCAGCAAUGGUUUCCUUGUCAUCUUCAUCUUCUUCCUCAGCUAUGUUCUUUCCUUUGUCCUUCACACCCGAACCCGAAGCUUGACCAGUCGGAGGUGUUUCGGUAGUGUGAACAGCUGUUGAGGAAGGAGGUGGUUUCGAUCCGGACUUCUUCCCUUCUCCCCCUUGUUUCGGAUUGGACACGAAACUGGGUAAACCUUCGAUUUUGCUAAGAAGGUCCAUGGCGGGAGUAAGUUUCUCAGCAAGGGUGCGCCUCACCGAGUGAUUGAGAAUGGGAUCGUGUGCUUCCAGGAUGUUAGAUAGGGCAGCGUGUACAUCCGAAACACAAGUUUUUAUAACCUUCCGUUCGGAUCGAAGAGCUUCAAGCUGUUGCUGAUAGUUUGAAAUCUGAGUGCUCUUGAACUUAAGGGUGGUGGUUUUGCUCGCUAAAACGUCCAUUAACGAAUUUUCUGCUGCGAGAUCUUCCUGAAGCUUAGUGAGGCGCUCGUCAAUGGAGGCACGAAGGGCCGAGUUGUCAUCGCUGAUGGAUUGGCGUAAUGUAGCGAAUGACUAUAACUCCGUUGAGACGAACUUGGCCAAUUGCUGAACGAUUGGUUCCAAAGUUGUCUUGGUGGCAUCAGCGCUCUCCUGUAAGGACUUCAACAGGGAAGAGGCGUCUGAGAAUAGUUUAUCGACUUUUGCGGUCGCAGCCUCACAGGCUUUUGUGGAGGCGUCUAUAGCGGCUGUGGCUGAAGCAACAGAAUCAUGCUGAGCCCUGGAGAAGGCGUCAACAAUCUUCUGAAGAGCGGCUUCAGAGAGAGAGGACUGAGAGUUGGUGGAUGACGCAAGAAGUAAGUCAACCUUCUCGUUUAGCUCGUUGAGAUGCUUCUUUGUCACUGGAGCAUCGUCCUCAUCGUCCCUUAGAACCUGAAACAGACUAAAGUAGACCGAAUCGAAGGUCAUGUUGUCACCGCCAAGAAAUGGGUUAUCUCCAUCAGAGGCAUGAUCUGGAGAUGGUGGGUUUGGUGAAGCUGGGGGUGUUGUGGUGUAGGUAGGUUCAGGUUGAGUGUUUGUGGGUGGGGUUUCGGGUGGUGGUUGAGUACGGGUAGGUUCGGUUGUAUGCUGGGUUUCGGUUUGAGGUGGUUCGGUUACAGGAAGGGUUGCGGUUGCACUGGUAUGAACCCCCGUAUCAGAUACGUUGGUUGUAACCUUUGCAGUUGUGGUAGUUGUAUCGGUGAAAAUGGGUGGUGGUAUAGGGAAAGAGGUUUUAGGUAGGGUGGUGGCGGGUUUUAUGGUGGGAAUGGAAGUAGGGAUGGUUGGAGGAGGUGAAGGAACUGGUGAAACAUGAAUUUCCAUGUCUGGGGUAGGUGAUCGGGUGGGGUGUUGCCUCUGGUAGGGGUUUCGCCUCUUUGAGAGCCGUCCGAACCCGAACUCUCGUUUUCUGAGUCACUCGAAGAGGAAGCGAUUACAAGCUUUCGCUUCGGUUGAGUCUUCCUUCUCUUCGGUUGCGGGGACUGUGCCGGUUUGGGUUGUUUCCUCUUCCUGGGAGAAGGACCUUUAGGAGCCUUGGUCACUUGCUUCCCUUUUUCCGCCUUUUUGCCCCUAUUGACAGGUUUUUCAGCGUCAUGGAUUGACUUGAGCAUUUCCUGUGUUAGAACCCUAGGACCAGACGCCUUGAAUUCCUUUAUCGUCCGGAUGAUUCUGCUGUCGGACGGAACAUCGCUGUACAUUGUCUCCGGAAUAGAGCCAAUGAACGAGAACUUAGAUGCAUCAGAGACGAUGAUCUUCGUGGUAUGAAAAGUACCGAUCGAAGACAUCGAUGCACCUGCAGUAGUGGGAAUGUCGAAUUUGUCCAUCGCCCACUUUAUGAUAAUUGUCCAGAACCGGGCGUACGACACCUCAGAGUGUCGUGAAGAGGAAGAAAGGCUCUGGAAGAGCUGUUGCCAGAUGACCAACCCAAAGUCUAGAUUGACUCCGUUGUAAACAGCAUACAUAAUCGACAGGAACAGUCGACUUGAACCAUCGGAUCCUGAGCUCCGUUCAGAUAAGCCCUUGAAGAGGACUGUAAACAUGCCGUUCCAUUGUGGCGGCAAGCAGGACUUCUUAAACUUUGCGACGGAGGGGAACGCCUCCGUGUACCCCAUGUUGUAAAACAUGUUGUAGAGAUGCCCAGUCGGAAUCGACUCCGGAUGAACUCGUGAAGAAUCAGCAGCCAACCCUAGCAGUGUACCAAAUCGUUGGCGAGAAAUGGAGGUCUUGUGAUCAGCAACCUCGAAGAAUACCCGCUCGACUGCUUUGUCGUAAUGAGCAGUCGCAUACACCUGCGAAAGAAUCUCCAUGGGCACAGAUUCAACCUUAGUGAGUGCAGGAGCGAUCUGAGAGUACUUCAAGCACUCGAUGAUCGGCGUCAUAUAAGAAUCAUACAACGAAGGAGUGAGGUCUAUCACCAAGCAUUGUUGUGGACGGAUGGGAAGGAUGUGUGAGGUAGCAUGGACUGAGGAUGAUUCUGCCAUUGUUGAAGGUAGAAGAAGAAGAUGAACAGUGAAGCUUUUAGGAGUGUUUGCUCUCUUGGAAAUUCGGGAUGCAGUAAAGAGGUAAAUGAGAGUAGAGACUGCCUUUUAUAGUGGGGGAAAGGAGAGAGAAAAAUCAUUUCAAAUCUUAUAUGUGUGACAGUUAAGGCAGGCGAUGAUCACGUAGGAGAGAGAGUGUCAGAUUCCUAGGAUCACGCCGCCCAACAAGCGCCGUUUCAAAAUAAACUGGUUCAAAUCCUCACGCGCCUUUAAGGGCCAGAGAGGUGUCGCUUGAAAUUCGCACACGCGUCCAUGAUGUCAGUAAAAGUGUGGACGUUCCAAAUUCACACGCGUUCCCUUUUUACCGUCGUUUGAAAUUCAAUCCUUUUAACUCCCGCCUGAGUCAGCAACUUUUUGUCUUAUCUUGUAAAUGUCAUCUUUUAAAUAAAUACCCACGUGGAUGAUUUUUGACCACAGCUUGAUAAUUAACCACCAAAGCAAUAAUACAGCCUGUAAUUAUUAGUAACGGAAUAUUGGAAACUCAAAGAUUUUUGUGCAAAGAGUGUAAAAAGAAAAGAAAUAAAGCAAUUCUUUUUAGGAAUGACUGUGAUGUCAAUAAUGACACAAAACAAAUGAUCCCGGGCACGAAUCUCUUCCUUCGAGAUCAAGAGAGACCUCAAAGUGUUAAUGUGGUUUCCCGUUGAAUGACGAUCAAAUAUUUAUUAAUAAAUAUUGAAAGGUUUCUUUUAAUAAGGCUACUUAAGGGUGGUUUUCGCUUUGAUUCAACAAUUCUAAUCUUGAAAUAAGAAAGAAAGUGAACAAAGUACUUGUGAGACCGGUGUAGUCUGUUGAACAAGUAGGUAGGAAUUAAGUUUAAAUAUCUUGGAAAAAAUAUAAAAUCUCAACAAAAAAUAAAAACUGGAUCCCAAGGGAAGAAAUGUUAUGGUGUUUAACAAUUUCAUAGGAAUCACACAAAAAUAAAAAAUUUGAGAUUUUAGUAGGAUACAUCCGUCAAUUCAUUGGUGAAAACUUGAGCAAAUUUAGUGUUCACCGUCAAUUCAGAUUUGGUGUUCAAUAUUGGGUUUCACUCAGCUCGUAGUGGUACGAAACUGAGAUCAUAAACACAGUUGUUGUAUAACCAUAAACCUCAGUGGUAAUGUCUGAGAGUCUCAAGGGUUACGUUGAUGAAACGAAUGUAAUGGAGAAAUGUAAUGGAGAUGGUGUAAGAAAUUAAAGUACCUCUGCUGCGAAAAUAAGGACCAAGCAGAACAACUCUUAUCUCAUGUGAGAAGAGAGUGAGGUAGCUCACGAUCAGAAUAAAUAUGAUAGCCUAAUUGGGAAGACAAGGUUUGUUUAUACCAAGUCAUUAAGGCUAUUAUUCAAAAUCUUAUGAGGCUUGGGACACAUACAGCAACAUGCUUCUAGGGACACUUAAGUAAUCCAACAAUUAUAUCCCCAUAAACGAACAAGCACACAAACAAAAUUAAAAGAGAAAAAUAUUUUUGGUGUUUUUGAUAUAUAUUAAAAAAAAUAAAAUUAAAAAAAUAAG